rnacentral:rRNA from 1 species
CAGUAGCCACGGUAAUACGUAGGGUGCGAGCGUUAAUCGGAAUUACUGGGCGUAAAGCGUGCGCAGGCGGUUCGUUAAGACAGAUGCGAAAUCCCCGGGCUUAACCUGGGAACUGCAUUUGUGACUGGCGAGCUAGAGUAUGGCAGAGGGGGGUAGAAUUCCACGUGUAGCAGUGAAAUGCGUAGAGAUGUGGAGGGAUACCGAUGGCGAAGGCAGCCCCCUGGGCCAAUACUGACGCUCAUGCACGAAAGCGUGGGGAGCAAACAGGAUUAGAUACCCCGGUAGUCCCUGUCUCUUAUAC